CCUUGGAGUGGGGAAUAACAGCUGGAAACAGCUGCUAAUACCGCAUGAUGCAGUUGAGUCGCAUGGCUCUGACUGCCAAAGAUUUAUCGCUCUGAGAUGGACUCGCGUCUGAUUAGCUAGUUGGUGGGGCAACGGCCCACCAAGGCGACGAUCAGUAGCCGGACUGAGAGGUUGGCCGGCCACAUUGGGACUGAGACACGGCCCAGACUCCUACGGAAGGCAGCAG
rnacentral:rRNA from 1 species